rnacentral:tRNA from 1 species
AGCACGAUGGCCGAGUGGUUAGGCAGGGGAUUGCAAAUCCCCGUACUCCGGUUCGAAUCCGGAUCGUGCUUCCA